UUUGGGGUUAAAAUCAAGAGUAAAAGGAGAAUACAUCAAGAAGAACAUGAGAAAUAUUUGGAGAAGUCAAGACCAAGCUCAAAAAUGGUUUGAUCUAGAACCUUGUAUUCUUUUCCAAUUAUUUUGCCAUAUAUGUAAUGUAUUGUUAUAAAUAUUCUCCUUUUUAUCAAUUGUUUAACAUAGGCUAAAUAUUUUUGUUGAGAUUCAUGGUUGAAAUAUAACCUAACCUUGAUUAAGUUCUAGAUUUGCUUUUUAAUGUUAAAAUGCUUAUUUCCAUAUACAUCUACUAUUAUAUUUCUUGCAUUUUCAUUUAUGUAAUGAAUGAUUAUGUUUAAUGAUUUGUAUAUCGUUCGAGAAAAGAUUGUGCAUUUUAGAUCAAAUAAUAGAAAACUUAGGUUUGUAUAGGUGAUAGAGAUAUAUACCUAACCUUAAGUGACCCAUUGAAUUAUUGAUGCGAACCCGGUUAGUAAGAUCACUAACGAACCCACGAAAGAUUGUUGAACCCCAGGAAAAUCAAGAAUUUACCUCGGUUUAUGGAUUUGAAUUCCAAGAUGACGAACCAAGCAACUCACAAUAAUAGUAAUAUGAAGGACCUCUUGAUCAUGCAACCAAAGACUCGCACUCGAAUUUUAAACGCCACAAGGAAACACGUUGAUAAGUUAGAAAAUUGUUCUAAGAAAAACAAAUAUUGGAAAGCAACAAUUGCAGCUCAAAUUAAAUUCUCAAUAAUGUCAAAAGUUAUUCUUGCAAUCAAUAAUGAGAAAAGUAUUUAUACCAAUCCUAAAAAUAUUGUCCUGGACAGAAAUUAUGCUCUAAUUAUCGAAAAAUAAUAAUUAGAAUCAAAUUUAUGGAAAAUAAAAAAGUUACUGAAAAUUAAAAAACGCGACCAAAAAUUUGUACUAUGCGGUCGUAUAGUACAAAGCUAUGCGGCCGCAUGGAAUUAAAAUUUUCCUCCCGAUAAAUUUCUGCAUGGGUCUAUGCAACUGCACGCACUGCAAAGCUAUGAGGUCAUAGCUUUGUCUGACGGUCUCCUUUUCGUCUACCUUUAUCACGUUGAUCCAAGUCUCUUCGGCUUUCGACCUCAACCUGAAACUUGUUCCAUUUGAUGUCCCGAACAUGGUGUCAUCAAUAGUGAUUUUAUCGAGCAUCCCAUCGCCUCUUUAACUCGUCUCUCUCUUGAUCGCGUCAUCGGGCCUUCUUCGAUAAUCAACGGGCUUGAUUCGAACUUGCCUUCAUGACUCCCUCAUCUUAGAUCAUAUCAGUUAUUUUCACAAAGACUUAAUGCGGUUGUUUGGUUUUAAUGGAUAUAGAGAUAUAGUAAGUUAAGCCAACCAAUUAGGGUUAAUUUCUAUUGAAAAUGUUAAUUAACUAAAAUUGGAAGAUCGAUUCUAAAAUCGUAAAUGAGUAAUUUGUUAAUUGACUUGUGGAGAAAUUAACUAGGCAAUGGUUAAGGAAACCCAUGAAUCCCAACCACAUUUUCUUUAAAAAAAAAUUCAAGAUUUUUUAUAUUUUCUUAUUUUGUAGAUUUUUAAUUAUUUUCCAAAAUCAAAAUCUUUAUUGUGUGUUUGUUUUCAUUGUUAGAAUUUAAUUUGUGUAAUAGAAAGUAUACAUUUCUUGAGGGAUUGACAACUCGUACUCAAAAAGUCCACUUUAUUACUUGAAUGAGACCCGUGCACUUGCGAUUUACAUUUUCUCAGUGACAAACAAGUUUUUGGCGCCAUUGUCGAAAAUGUUUUUACUUUGAUUACUACUUUAGUUAAUUUUAGUUUUAACAGUUUCUUUUUAUUUAUUUUUAAUUGCUUUUAUUUUUGUAUACUUGGCUAACCACCAUAUUGUUAAAUCUAUCUUGUGCUGAACUUUUCAGCUAUAGUUGCAUUAUUCCUAUUUUGGUAAAGAAACAAUGUUGUUGCAAUGUCUAAUCUCUAUGAAUUUAUGCUUGAAGGCCCAAGGUGUGAAAUUUGUCAAUCGAUGUAUUGUACAGGACAAUGCUUGUAUUCAUGUACCUAUGCCUCAAUGUCGAAAUAUCUUUGGUUUAAACAAUAUUUUAAAUGUAGAAAUCAAGCAUUGCACAAUUUUGAUGAUUGUUACAUGCUCACGGGAGAUUAUGUAACUGAUGAUUGGGAUGAGGACACAAAUUUUCAGGAGUUGGUCCUCGAGAGGGUACUUGUACUGUAUUACAAUGAAUUUACUAAGUCGGAUGAAGAGGACAUGCUUGUGGAGAUUACAAAUAUUGCGAUAGAUUUCAAAAGUGGGGUAUAAUCCACUUGAUAGAGUUAAUAGAAAGACUUUCCACUGCCCAUGAAAAUUGAUAAUGGACCGGUCAUUCAAUCUGAUGAAAUAUCAAUAAUUGAAGAAGAGCUUGAAGAGAAAAACAAUUACAACGGAGCUAAAUGAAGAUGUUGCAAUCAAUAAGGAGAUAAUCGACUUACAUUCUUCUGACUUGGUUGAUUGCCAAGAAAUUGAUUUUGUAAUUAAAUCCAAUGAAAAGGUAGAAACUUCAUAGUUGAAUUUGAGGACGAUGGAAUAGCCAAGUCAUCUUAUAUGUAAAGGGACAAUGUUGUAUUUUGGAGAUCAAAUGAAGAGUGAAACAAAGCCAAAAUGAAGAAAAACAGACAAGUUAUCCAAAGCCUUCUUUAGGUGCUCGUGAUUUAAAUACCAAAGCCAAGUUAAAAGACUAUAAAAAACUUAUUGGGAGGCAACCCAUUUUUUUAAACUUUUAAGCUUUUUAUUUAUUUUUAUGUAUUUUCACGCUUUUAUUUAACUAGCUAUCAUUUUUUGUAGGUAAUUUCUGAAGUUCCACAUAUCUAUGGUUCCUAACAAGUUUAGAGGUAAAUUGAAUGUCACUUGCCAAGUUUAUCAAAAGCAUUACAAAUCCAAAUCAAGCAUUGGCACCUGGCUCAAAUGUCUAACUGGGAAGUCUUAUUAAGCUCCCCGCUUACCUUUUAUCUUGUUAUUUUCCGCUUUGAAGACAAUGUGGGAUUUAAGUUUAGAGGUGAUUGUGCCUUUUUUUUUUUUUUUUUUUUUUUUAUUGUAUU
rnacentral:lncRNA from 1 species